rnacentral:rRNA from 1 species
AUAAGUCUGGUAAUUGGAAUGAGUACAUUCUAAAUCCCUUAACGAGGAUCCAUUGGAGGGAGAGUCUGGUGCCAGCAGCUACGGUAAUUCCAGCACCAAUAGCGUAUGUUUAAGUUGUUGUAGUUAAAAAGCUCAAAGUUGGACUUUGGGAUUGACCGGCCGGUCCGCCUAUGGUGUGCAUUGGUCAUCUCGUCCCUUCUGUCAGCGAUGUGCUCCUGGCCUUAACUGGCCGGGUCGUGCCUCCGACGUUGUUACUUUGAAGAAAUUAGAGUGCUUAAACCAAGCCUAUGCUCUGUAUACAUUAGCAUGGGAUAACAUUAUAGGAUUUUGGUCCUAUUACGUUGGCCUUCGGGAUCGGAGUAUGAUUAACAGGGACAGUCGGGGGCAUUCAUAUUUCAUAGUCAGAGGUGAAAUUAUUGGAUUUAUGAAAUACGAACAACUGCGAAAGCAUAUUCCAAGGAUGUUUUCGUUAAUCAAGAAUGAAAAUUGGGGGCUCGAAGGCGAUCAGAUACCGCCCUAGUCUCAAUCAUAAAUGAUGCCGACCAGGGAUCGGGGAAUGUUGCUUUUAGGACUCCACCGGCACCUUAUGAGAAAUUAAAGUUUUUGGGUUUUGGGGGGAGUAUGGUCGCAAGGCUGAAACUUAAAGCAAUUGACGGAAGGGCACCACCAGGAGUGGAGCCUUUGGCUUAAUUUGACUCAACACGGGGAAACUUACAAGGUUCAGACAUAGUAACGAUUGAUAGACUGAGAGAUCUUUCUUGAUUCUAUGGGUGGUGGUGCAUGGCUGUUCUUAGUUGGUGGAGCGAUUUGUCUGGUUAAUUCUGUAACGAAUGAGACGUCAGCCUUCUAACUAGCUAUGCCGAGGUAUCCCUUCGCGGCCAGCUUCUUAGAGGGACUACAGUCUUUCAGGCCGCGGAAGUUUGAGUAAAUAAUAGGUCUGUGAUGCCCUUAGAUGUUCUAGGCCUCACACGCGUUAUAGUGACGUAUUCAAUGAGUUUAUAGCCUGGGUCGACAAGCCUGGGUAAUCUUUGAAAUUUCAUCGUGAUGGGGAUAGAUCAUUGCAAUUGUUGGUCUUCAACGAGGAAUUCCUGGUAAGCGCGAGUCAUCAGCUUGCGUUGACUACGUCCCUGCCUUUUGUACACACCGCUCGUUGCUCCUAAUGAUUGAAUGAUCCGGUGAAAUGAUCGGAUCGCGGCAACGUGGGCGGUUCUCUGCCCGAGACUAAGCAAGAAGUCCAUUGAACCUUAUCAGUUAGAGUAAGGAGAAUUCGUAAUAAGGUUUCCGUAGGUGAACCUGCAAAAG